AUGUCAUCAUGUGCAUUGCAUUUGCAUACAUGUUCGUCUCAGGCAUCCGAGCAUUUUCCCCGUUGUCCGUUUUGCAAUCCGGCACUCCCACCUCCUCCGGCGCACCCCCUUGUUUUCUUUUUGCGAGCGGGUGUUGAACGCUCUCGGAAUGGACCGAGUCUUGUCAAGUGGCCUUGGUAUACCACCGGGAGACCACCGGUCAAGUUUCGUUCCAUUCGGAGGUCGUUUGGUACUCCAACGGUUAACCGGGUAACCGCAAAGUCUUUUUGUGUGUUGCAGCAAAACCCCCUCAAAACAAGCCCAAAACUCCUCUAA
rnacentral:rRNA from 1 species